UACGUAGGUGGCAAGCGUUAUCCGGAAUUAUUGGGCGUAAAGCGCGCGCAGGCGGUUUCUUAAGUCUGAUGUGAAAGCCCACGGCUCAACCGUGGAGGGUCAUUGGAAACUGGGGAACUUGAGUGCAGAAGAGAAAAGCGGAAUUCCACGUGUAGCGGUGAAAUGCGUAGAGAUGUGGAGGAACACCAGUGGCGAAGGCGGCUUACUGGACUGUAACUGACGCUGAGGCAUGAAAGCGUGGGGAGCAAACAGG
rnacentral:rRNA from 1 species